GAGAGAAAGGUCUUCCGUUGCCGUUGGUUUCACCCUCCAAUGGCCGCCACGGCCAGUGUGCUGCGGCCGACACACCGCACUGAUCCGAUGGCAGGAACCAGGUGCUUCUCCUGGUCUCCCGUGGGGUGCAGGGCCCAAGCACUUGGGCCAUCCUCCACUGCACUCCCUGGCCACAGCAGAGAGCUGGCCUGGAAGAGGGGCAACCGGGACAGAAUCCGGCAUCCCGACCGGGACUAGAACCUGGUGUGCCGGCACCGCAAGGCGGAGGAUUAGCCUAUUGAGCCAUGGCGCCGGCCCCUGGGUUGCCUUCUGAGGGCCAGAGGCCGGUCCGCUGCAGCCCGUGUGUGAGUUCGCCUGGAUGGGGCUGCCUGCCUCGUGUGGGGUGGUGGCCUGCUCAUGUCCCUAGUCCCCUCCCCCACCCCAGGUCGACCAGGUGGCCAGAGGAGUGUCCUCUAACAGAGAUGGGUGGCAUUUUGGGGACAAGUGACCGGGUCCCCAAGCUCAGAGGUGGCUGUGUCCAGUGCAUCAGCCCUGUGUCCUCUCGCGUGGACAUUUUUAUACUUGGAGUUGUGGUUUUGGACCUGCAGGUAGGUGCUGACACGCUGUUCUCUGGUGACUGUCGCCAGGGAGGGGACUCCGGACGUGCGUUGGGGACACGGGGACAAAGUGGGCUUCCAGUGGGCUGGUGCUCGACCGUGCUCCUUUCUGAGAGCCUGUGCGGUGCCCCUGGAGUGGUCCAGGUUGUGCCUCAGGCGCCUGAAGCCGAGUGGUGGUGUUGCUCCUGUCCCCCCAGCGCCCUCUCCCGGGUGUCGCUGCUGCGGCUGCCUCUGGCUGCUGCCUGUGCCCCUUGGGAGUCUUGGGGGGGUCGAGGCGGUAAGAGAAGGAGACACGUGUGUGCUUCGCCUCGCUUGGAGGGAGGCUGCCGGUGUCGUGCCGUCGUCCCCACGUGUGUGUGGGGUAUCGGCUUGGUGGGCGCAUGCCUGCGCGCUUGCCACCCUGCCCCCGUGGGGUGGUGUGUGCCAGGUGUGUCGAGCGGUCGCGGUGUGGUCCGGUCUGGCCGGACGAGUGCGGGGGCCGGGAGGGCUGUGGCGAAUGGGAUUGGUAAUGCGCCCAGCCUGCCCUUGCCCUGGCCGCGGAUGCUCGAGGUGCCGUUCUUCCUUAUACCGCAGACCCCCCUCGCCCGAUUGAUCGGUUCUCUCGGGUGGUGCUCCCUCGGCUUGCCUCCCUGCCGGCCCCGGCGGGGGGGGGGGCAGUUGGGGUGGGGUGUGGCCCCACCUUCGGUGAGGAACGCCUUCUCUAGCGAUCCGAGAGGGGCGUGCCUUCUGACGGGGUACCGUUAUCCCCCGGCCGCCGUCCCUCCUGUGCUGAGUGCGUUGGGUGGCGUACCCCACCCGUGCGCCCCGUUUGCCCCUUCUGUUGGGGGGAAGCGUAGGCGUGCUGGUGGGUCUGCCGGUCCCCGCGGUGGGGACCGGGGCGCUGCUCUUUCGGCCCUAAUGGCCGCGGCCCGCGCCUCCCCCCUCCGUGUCGGGGGAGGGUCCCGCCGGGCCGGGCUGGCGGUCCGUCGCUCUUUCUUCGUGUUGGGGACCGGCGCGCGUGCCCGUGUGCGCGCGUGCCUUCCGCGUCACUCUCCGUGUGUUGCCUUGUCGGCCGGGGCUUGGCGGGGGCGCGCGUGGUCCGUCCUGCGCGUCCCCGGGGCUGUGGCGCGAGCGGGCAGCUCUCAGCUUCCCCUGCUCGCCACCCCGGGCUGCGACUGGCCGUCGUCGGGCGGCGGUCGGCACGUGUGUUGGGCUGCGCCCAGCCCUCUCUUCCCCCUCGGCCCGCGUGGUCGCCCCUGGGGAGCGUUCCCUCGGGGUCGCGGUGCUUCUCCGGGCAUGGAGAUCCGGAUGGUUGGAUGGGCGGGAGAUGGCGCGAGGGCCGUCCGGUGUGUGCGGUUGUUGGCGCUGCCCGCGCCUUCCUCUGCCUGCCGGGCGGCCCUGGCCCCCGUCUCCUUUGCUCUCUUUCUCAUCCGCUUCCCGACCCGGGUCGCCGUGACCCUGCUGUGUUUCGCCUCCCCUUGGGCCGGCCCACCGUGUCUUGGGGGUUGGGGGUUCCGGCUCCCCUUACGUGUGUGGAACCGCCCCGGACGGCUGUGGUGUCGCGCGUUGGCUUGUUGGCGUGCGUGGGGGAAGGAGGAGGAGGGGGAGGCGUCGUCACCCCCCCAGCUCCCCCCCCCCCCGGGGGGGUGGGCGCCGGCGGCUUUGGUGACUCUAGAUAACCUCGGGCCGAUCGCACGCCCUCCGUGGCGGCGACGACCCAUUCGAACGUCUGCCCUAUCAACUUUCGAUGGUAGUCGCCGUGCCUACCAUGGUGACCACGGGUGACGGGGAAUCAGGGUUCGAUUCCGGAGAGGGAGCCUGAGAAACGGCUACCACAUCCAAGGAAGGCAGCAGGCGCGCAAAUUACCCACUCCCGACCCGGGGAGGUAGUGACGAAAAAUAACAAUACAGGACUCUUUCGAGGCCCUGUAAUUGGAAUGAGUCCACUUUAAAUCCUUUAACGAGGAUCCAUUGGAGGGCAAGUCUGGUGCCAGCAGCCGCGGUAAUUCCAGCUCCAAUAGCGUAUAUUAAAGUUGCUGCAGUUAAAAAGCUCGUAGUUGGAUCUUGGGAGCGGGCGGGCGGUCCGCCGCGAGGCGAGCCACCGCCCGUCCCCGCCCCUUGCCUCUCGGCGCCCCCUCGAUGCUCUUAGCUGAGUGUCCCGCGGGGCCCGAAGCGUUUACUUUGAAAAAAUUAGAGUGUUCAAAGCAGGCCCGAGCCGCCUGGAUACCGCAGCUAGGAAUAAUGGAAUAGGACCGCGGUUCUAUUUUGUUGGUUUUCGGAACUGAGGCCAUGAUUAAGAGGGACGGCCGGGGGCAUUCGUAUUGCGCCGCUAGAGGUGAAAUUCUUGGACCGGCGCAAGACGGACCAGAGCGAAAGCAUUUGCCAAGAAUGUUUUCAUUAAUCAAGAACGAAAGUCGGAGGUUCGAAGACGAUCAGAUACCGUCGUAGUUCCGACCAUA
rnacentral:lncRNA from 1 species